rnacentral:rRNA from 1 species
UACGGGGGGGGGUAAGCGUUGUUCGGAAUUACUGGGCGUAAAGGGCUCGUAGGCGGUCCGUCACGUCGGGAGUGAAAACUCGGAGCUCAACUCCGAGCCCUCUCCUCGAUACGGGCAGACUAGAGGUAGGCAGGGGAGAGCGGAACUCCUGGUGUAGCGGUGGAAUGCGCAGAUAUCAGGAAGAACACCGGUGGCGAAGGCGGCUCUCUGGGCCUUACCUGACGCUGAGGAGCGAAAGCGUGGGUAGCGAACAGG